GGCCUGAUGGUCUAGUAGUAUGAUUCCUUGUUAGGGCUGUUAAGCAAUUUCGAGGAGGUCCCGGGUUCAAUUCCCGGUCAGGCCC
rnacentral:tRNA from 1 species